CUUGGAAAGGUGGGAGCGGGAGGUGGCUGGAGGGUGCCCAGCUAGUUGCUUGUGGUGGGGCCCCCUUUCUUCUUCUUGUCCUGGCAGACCACACACUUGUCUGCCAGGUGUCCCAGGUGACCUCACCUCUGGGAGUGCUCAGCAGUCUCCCAAGCUUCAGUUCCUGUGUCCUUUUCAUGUAGGUCCCCUGGAACCCUGAGACCCAGAAGUUUUUAUGGUGUCUAUGUGACAAAUGAGAAGGCUGGUUCCAGAAUGGGGAAGUGACUUGUCCAAAGUCCUAGCUUUGAGCCCAGGCCCAUGGACCGUGGCCUACCCCCACCCCAGUCAGAGGGAGAAUCCGGGUCAGGAGCCUCCCUCCACGUCCAGUUGCCAAGUGCCAGUCCACAGUCGGGCUUGGUUUGGUCCACUGUGUUUUUUUUUUAAAAGCUUUGAAAAAUCAGAUUUUAUGUUGCUGUGACUUGAAUGUAUGAUCAAAAAUUCAUGUGCUGGGAACUCUGUACCCGUGUGGGGGUGCAGAGGCUUUGGCAGAGUCCUUGUGAAUGGGUUAACUUGGGGAUUAUUGUGGUUGUGGCUUUAUUAUAAAAGCGCUCUCUCUCUCUCUGGACCCCUGGGCCCCAUGUUCCUGCAAUGCUUUCCACCAUGUUUGACGCAGCGCGAUGCCCACACUGGAGCCUGGCUCUGGACUUCAGCCUCUAGAACCACACAUUAGACAAACCUCUCUUCUUUGCAAGUUCCUGAGUCUGUGUCAUCCAGUUGUAGCAACAGGAGACAGACUAGGUCACCAGUUAGACCCAGACUCCAGCUUCUCUUGACAAGAACUGGGCGGCCGGUCAGGCAGCCCGUGGUGGGCAGGUUCCUGGGGCUUUGGAAACAUUAUGCAACUGUUAACUGUUGUUAUCAUGGUUUCCUGGUUGUAGGUAUGGUCACAGGCUGCAUUGAGACCAGGAUGGAGCCAGAACAGGAGUUCAUGCCUGAAGGGGC
rnacentral:lncRNA from 1 species